rnacentral:rRNA from 1 species
CCUACGGGUGGCAGCAGUAGGGAAUAUUGGUCAAUGGAUGCAAGUCUGAACCAGCCAUGCCGCGUGCAGGAAGAAGGCCUUCUGGGUUGUAAACUGCUUUUGCCAGGGGAUAAAAGAUCCUUGCGAGGAUAAUUGAAGGUACCUGGUGAAUAAGCCACGGCUAACUACGUGCCAGCAGCCGCGGUAAUACGUAGGUGGCAAGCGUUGUCCGGAUUUAUUGGGUUUAAAGGGUGCGUAGGUGGUCCCAUAAGUCAGUGCUGAAAUAUCCCGGCUUAACCGGGAGGGUGGCAUUGAUACUGCGGGACUUGAGUAAAGUUGAGGUAGGCGGAAUUGACGGUGUAGCGGUGAAAUGCUUAGAUAUCGUCAAGAACACCGAUAGUGCAGACAGCUUACUAAGCUUUAACUGACACUGAGGCACGAAAGUGUGGGGAUCAAACAGG